GGCAUCGUCCUCAAGCCGAAGCUCCAGUUUGGCUCUUCCUGGGUGGUAUCAGGUGUGGCUGUCUCGCCUCUAGCCUGCAGCUCCUCCUUCCUUUCCAAUGCCGGCAAGAUCAGCUCGCUGUUCGCCCUUUUCACCAUCGCCUCCACUGCAAGAUUGCAAGGUCAUAGAGAAGCUGUGAGUGAAGCAGACACAGGAAGAGGCGGCAGGAGGUGACGCAAACCAACUGUUUGAUGAAAUGCCGGCUUCAUGGAAUUAAGUUGAUCUUGCCUGAAGAAGCUAAAAGCUGUGGUCUCUGUUCUGUUGUGACUGUCAUGAACCAGGCGGUGUUGGCAAGAUUACUCUAAGCUCAGCACAUACACAAUGAUAAGAAUGCCAGCUCCGAGUUUGAAAUGAAGAUGUGGGUACAGUUUGGUCUCUUCGAAGCUCGCUGAAGGCCCUGAGAUGAACUAAUUGCAUAGUUGGUCUGGCCAGAGUGGGGCAAGGACUACUGACUGAUCUGUAGCAGACGAAGAGGGUCGUGCUGAAGAUAUUGCUUGCAACUACUUUGAUGACCUAUUCACCUAUAAAGCAGGGCGAGAGCCUGUUUCGAGAGGAGUACUUUGAUGACCUUGUCAUUUUGUCAAUUUUAUUCAGAGAUUGCUAUCUUGAGGAAAGGUUCCUACUGUUUAAAACUUUUAAUGGAGGUAAUGACAAUCAGUUCUAAUCAUGCUGUUGUGUGGGUAUAUACUGUUUUAUUGUUUGUAAUGACUACAUGCUUUAAUCAUAUUCCUAAUUUGAUGGUUUGUGCUGAUUUAAGAACCUUCAGUAUGUACCCUAGCACUUCUUACGGCAAGCAUGUCAUGCAUGAUCUUUAUCAUGAGCUUGCUGAGUAUGUAUCAACCAAAUAGCAUUCCAGAAUAGAAGAAAAUACAAUGACAUGCAAAGUAGAUAAAGCUCCAAUGGAGUCUCAUUCCAAUAGCCAAUAAUAAAAUAAUCCAAUCACUCUAGCCCGCGAACCAUCUUGGUUGUUAAAUAAACUGAACACGAGGAGCAAUGUAUUUUACUCCCUCCGUCCCAAGAACACGAGCGAGUACCUAUUAGAAAAGAUGAAGGAAAUUAUAGUAGUGCAUAAAGUUGCCAAAUCUUUCUUCUAAAAUUUAUCCUCAUUAAUUUAAAUGAAUAACUGAAAUUUACGCCGCAGACACUGUUUUGAAGAAGUAUUCAUCAACUGUUACUACAUUUUUUUUACUUGUCUACUGUCUAGCUUCUGCUGCUUUUCUGUGACAUGCCUUGACCAUUAACUUUCUUUAGGCAUACCAGUAGUAUUUAUUUCAAUGCAUGUGGUAACCUUACCUAUCUCUGCACUUGAUUUCAUUGAGCCAACCUUCGUCAUCUUCCAUUUGUGCAACUGCUAUUUGUUCCCAGUUCUACUUGCCACUAGCUAAAGUCAAAGAUAAACCAGGCGAAUUAUUGGAGUUCACGAUAUCCCCUCUUCAAGUUGCAUACAAUGAACCUCAUGUGUCCCAACAGUCUUAGUCGAUUAUCUCUUCUCAAGGGAUCAAAUUCCUCGCUAAUAUAAGGCAUCUUGAAGUAUACAUGGGUAGCUUGAAAUUCUGCAUGCCAUGUGGAAUUAGCAAAUUAUCAAGUCUCCAAACAAUGGUUGGUAAUGACUGAGGUAGUUGUAGCACUGAUGACUAGUUCAAAUCUUCAAGAAGAGUCACACAUCUCAGGAACUGGAAUGUUACCAGGGUGUAAAUUCUUACAGAAACUAGAUAAGCAAAUCGGAUCAUAAGCUAGAAAGUAAAUCAUGUAGAUUGAUAUCCCACUGAUCUUCCAUUUUAUUCCAUAUUUGCUGAUAAGGCAUCUAUGUUGGAUACCCUCAAGCGUCAUCCUGGUCUAGAGGAACUAGUUAUGAUGCGUUUUUCUGUGCCAGGUUUCCCUAUGGCCUUUCCUUUAUAGAGCUCAAUGCUUGUGAGAAUUGUAAUGCUCUGACUUUUCUUGGUCUAUUAUCUUUGGCAUCGUUUGUUCUGUUCACUCACAGGCUUAAAGAAUGUGAGAUGAAUCUUUUUUUUUUUGUAAAUAUGGGGACACUAACUGCAGUGGCUGUGGUUCCAACACAGCAGAGCCUUACCAUUGUUGGAGACACCGAAGAUCACAAACAUGGUGUCUUUGGGAACAAUGGGAGGAAACUGAAGCAACGGCAUCUUACCAUUCUGAGAUGUUAGCAAUGAGGGGCUUUCCCAAUAUUCAGGCUUUGAAAAUCUGCAAACAGAAAAUUGCAAGAAUCUGCUUGAAUUACAAAAUUUCUUGAACCUCCAACGUAUUAAAAUGGAGUCUCUGUGGUGUGUUAACAGUAUCCUGCAACUGCAUCUUAUUUUCAUAUUGAGUCAGCAAUCCUUCUUUUUUUAGGGAAAAGAGUCACAAGGAAUACAUAGCAAUGAAAUAUCUCGGAUUAUGUCCCCCUUUGGACUUCACAGAUUGAGAUUAAAGAAACAGCCAUUGCAUAAGGCCUCAGGGUUGAAAAUUUC